rnacentral:snRNA from 1 species
UUGUUCAGUUAAGUAGAAAAUGAAUUGAAGUUGGAAUGAUGCCACGAUUAGCAUGACUCCUAUGCAAGGAUGAUGCAGAAAUUCAUGAAUGUGAGCCACAUUUUU